AAUUGAAAAAGAAAAAAAAAACAAAGCAAAGCAAAAAGGAAGUAGUUGAAGCCCCAUGCGAAUGCAAAGGACUUAGCGCGCAAAUUAACCAUUUGAAGCACCAAAGUGUGGAUCCAGCUAAUGGCACCGUUUUCAAUUCUGCACAAUCAAUUCUAAAAAACUAAAAUCCAAUAUACAGCCAUUUAAAUGCCAAUUAAAAAAAAAAAAAAAAAGAAAAAGACCUAUUCCCUCUUUUAUUUGCCGUUUCAACUUCACAUAAUGCUCUCAAUUUGGGAGGUUCCUUUCAACCUUGGAAUCUCCUUUGAUUUGAUUUCAACAAAACAAAGAGAAGAAAGCCAUGGCCUCUUCACACGGUGUGCAUGGCGUGGAGGAGUUAUUUGCGGAACAUGGCACGAGUGGAAGAAUCAACUAAAGGCUGCGGUGGCUGAAGCUUCUAAGGUUUCUGCUGAAAAUUCCCUAGGUGUUUUGGGCUUGGGGUAUUUUGGGUUAUUUAGGCUAGUUGGAUUAAGUUUAAUAAUUUGAACCCAUUAUUUUAGUUGCUGGACUAUGUAAGAAAUGGACAUUGGACUAUUAUUUAUAUAUUUUUUAGUUUUAUUUUUUUUGUUUUGGUUUUAGUGUAAGCCCGGGCACAAAUUGGGUCUUACAAUGACCAAUUGUAAAAUUGUAUAAGGUUAGAAACAUUUCAUUUUGUCAUCUCA